GGAUAAUGCCUGAAAACAUCCAGACGAAAAAUGGAAUUGGAUGUACAGAUCAAAGACCUCCAGAGAUGGACAGCCGAAGGGGGGACGCUAUGAACCCGAGACUGUGGUGCUUCCCAGGCCGAGCUCCACUUAGGCUGGACCAGGAAAGGAGGGAGAGCCUCGCUUCGGCGGGGAGCCGUUUGACAGCAGGUCAAAGGGGUCAGCCGAGGGAACGUGAGAGGAUGCCGCCUGACGGCCCCGUAAGGUCGGGGCGCGGGGAGCUCAGCGGCGUACUUCGCAGAACGACGAGCGCCCCUCAAGGUCCAUCUUUCACAACGCCCCCUGCGGGGAGCAAUGCCGGCCCGCCCAAAGUGAGGACGGGAUUCUCCUCCAUCACGAUUGCUUCACGGAAGAUCCCUCAGGCCACCGACGUACUCCUCCCUGCCCCUGCGAACAGAAACGAGAGCCGUGAACACUCCACCCCAACCUCUGCCGCUCCAGUCGAUACCCCGGUACUCGGGCCAGCGGUGGUGUACAGGAGGAAAGCGACAGCCAUCAAGGUGACGGGCCGCAGACAGAGCUACGCCGCAGGCGAAACCUUGGAUGGGCCGCACCCAACUGCACCGAGGCACAGCUUCGCCGAGGGGGACAGUAAAGAGAAUAGUCUCUUGCAGUUCACCCCAAACCUGUCCGGCUCCCUGCCACAGGGCUCCAUUCGCACCGGCAACUCGCCGAAAGCACCGGCAGAAGCCACCUGCUCCGCUGCGUGCCUAACAAAAUCGGAGGAGCCAGGUGGAGGAGGACAGAAGAUCCACAGGUCCACCUUAUCCCUUUACCUGAGCAGCCCUUCUUCUGGAGCGGUCCCUGGGAACAGGCCCAGGAGACCCCUCAGCUUCACAGGAGGGCUUGGUGAGACCGGUGAGAGCAACUUCAAGGCAGCAGAGGUGGAACCCAGGCGCAAGAGCCUGGGUCCUUCUGGGGGGACCAAUAGUAACGUGUUGGAUGGAGCAGCAGCAAGCCCGAGCACAUCAACGACGCAAGGGGACACAACAGGGCCAGCUGUGGAGAAGGCAAAGCACCGGGGGCCUCUCGACUUGUGGAGUCCCUCGAGGAACCCGCAUCCCGCCUUCAUCCGAGCCCGAGAGAACGGAUGGCGACAGAGUCCUGAUCUUACCCUGGCGCUCAACGCUGCAUCUGUCAUAGCCCAUAUAAAGCGACUAAGUCAGCUGAAGAAGACACCAGUCAUCCUUUCUGCCAAGGACUCAAAGAGAUGUAGUGACUCUGGCGGAGCGGUCCCCUUAGCACCGGAGGAUGCUGGGAAGGCCCGGGAGGACGAGGGACCGGUCGGACGGUGUCCGCUCGAGGUGACGAGAAGGCGAACCGCCGGUCCCGCUGAUCCGGGGUUCACCGGACCAGGGUCCCGCGACGUCCUGCUGGGCAAUCCACACAAGACCUUAACCCUGCAGGAGGCCUUGACGCGCCAUCGUCCGGACUUCAUUCGCCGCUCUCGAGGCCGGCUGCAGGAGCUGGAGCGCCGCGCGCAGGAGAGACGGG
rnacentral:lncRNA from 1 species